GUCGGUGAAAGGAAAAGCAUGGUUUAUUUCUGACCUCCAGCUUGGUGUACCACUCUAUUUAAUAUCACCUUAGUGGGCUUGGAUCAGUCACUCUCAACGAGAGCAGCUGAGGACGGAAAGGAACAAAUCCUGGAGAAAACCCUUCACAGGACUCCAAGGGGGCUGGAUUCAUGUGGUGGAGUUAAGUUUUUGUCUUCCAGAACCAGAUGUGUUUGGAUGGCUUUCAGGGCUCCCCUCCAGACCACUGGCCAUCAAACUUUAACAUCAUAGCAGAGAGCCCUGCUCAUAUCUCUAGUUGAGUGGGUAAUCACUGAGAAUCAAAGGUGGGCCUGGCUUCCCUUCCUUUCAGACAGACUUCCAUCAGUCUAGAGCCACCAUCAUCUAACCAAAACAGAUGGAGAUUGUUCAUGCUGUAUCGUCCUCUUCACUUUUGAUGACAAGAAGAAGAGCUCAGAAGGAAGUGGCAAAAGUUGGGACUGUGAAACAAAUUUACAAAUUGAGGUCGCAUGGUCCAGUGGAAUGUUUUUCAGACAUAUGACUUCACUGCAUGUCUGAAAGCAUCCUGAAAACAUCUAGAACUUUAAAAAUGCUUGAAAACAUGUUACACUUUCUGUACUUGGAGCUUAAUUGUCAUUACGGUUUAAUGUCUUCCCAAACCCAGACACUCUCUGAAACAUUGAAAGUCUUCUACAAAGUUUUGUAGUUCAUUGUUGUUAUGACAUGAGGGAUCUUCUCUUGGGUGUUAGGGCUACAGCCAUGGUUACAGCUUGAACUUUAGCACAACAUAUAACUUUGUUUUAAUAUCUUCUUUUUCUUAGGUUUGACUUAUUUUUGCUAAAUGAUGAUGAGCCAUAAUUCACAUGCUGAGUUUUAAAUUAACUUUUGACAGUCAUCAGAAUGUUCUAGUCAGUAGAAUUAGGACAAUCUGCGUGUCUGAAAGGACUGGAUAUGUACUGUGCA